rnacentral:rRNA from 1 species
UGCAGUCGAGCGGUAGAGAGAAGCUUGCUUCUCUUGAGAGCGGCGGACGGGUGAGUAAUGCCUAGGAAUCUGCCUGGUAGUGGGGGAUAACGUUCGGAAACGGACGCUAAUACCGCAUACGUCCUACGGGAGAAAGCAGGGGACCUUCGGGCCUUGCGCUAUCAGAUGAGCCUAGGUCGGAUUAGCUAGUUGGUGAGGUAAUGGCUCACCAAGGCGACGAUCCGUAACUGGUCUGAGAGGAUGAUCAGUCACACUGGAACUGAGACACGGUCCAGACUCCUACGGGAGGCAGCAGUGGGGAAUAUUGGACAAUGGGCGAAAGCCUGAUCCAGCCAUGCCGCGUGUGUGAAGAAGGUCUUCGGAUUGUAAAGCACUUUAAGUUGGGAGGAAGGGCAGUUACCUAAUACGUGAUUGUUUUGACGUUACCGACAGAAUAAGCACCGGCUAACUCUGUGCCAGCAGCCGCGGUAAUACAGAGGGUGCAAGCGUUAAUCGGAAUUACUGGGCGUAAAGCGCGCGUAGGUGGUUUGUUAAGUUGGAUGUGAAAUCCCCGGGCUCAACCUGGGAACUGCAUUCAAAACUGACUGACUAGAGUGUGGUAGA